rnacentral:rRNA from 1 species
UACGAAGGGGGCUAGCGUUGCUCGGAAUCACUGGGCGUAAAGGGUGCGUAGGUGGUCUAUUAAGUCAGUGCUGAAAUAUCCCGGCUUAACCGGGAGGGUGGCAUUGAUACUGAUGGACUUGAGUAAAGUUGAGGUUGGCGGAAUUGACGGUGUAGCGGUGAAAUGCUUAGAUAUCGUCAAGAACACCUAUUGCGAAGGCAGCUAACUAAGCUUUAACUGACACUGAGGCACGAAAGUGUGGGGAUCAAACAGG